UCCUACGGGAGGCAGCAGUGGGGAAUUUUGGACAAUGGGCGCAAGCCUGAUCCAGCAAUGCCGCGUGCAGGAAGAAGGCCUUCGGGUUGUAAACUGCUUUUGUCAGGGAAGAAAUCCUCUGGGUUAAUACCUCGGGGGGAUGACGGUACCUGAAGAAUAAGCACCGGCUAACUACGUGCCAGCAGCCGCGGUAAUACGUAGGGUGCGAGCGUUAAUCGGAAUUACUGGGCGUAAAGCGUGCGCAGGCGGCUUUGCAAGACAGAUGUGAAAUCCCCGGGCUCAACCUGGGAACUGCAUUUGUGACUGCAAGGCUAGAGUACGGCAGAGGGGGAUGGAAUUCCGCGUGUAGCAGUGAAAUGCGUAGAUAUGCGGAGGAACACCAAUGGCGAAGGCAAUCCCCUGGACCUGUACUGACGCUCAUGCACGAAAGCGUGGGGAGCAAACAGGAUUAGAUACCCUGGUAGUCCACGCCCUAAACGAUGUCAACUGGUUGUUGGACGGCUUGCUGUUCAGUAACGAAGCUAACGCGUGAAGUGACCGCCU
rnacentral:rRNA from 1 species